AAUGAGGUACUUAGCAUCCAAGAAUUAUUCGUACACUAUCUCAGUUCCAACCAAUUACUAAGAUUCACCUAAGAGCUACGGUUAUGAGAUCAAAUUGCAAUGCAAGAUUUGAAAUCUCAAUGGUAUGCUAAUACCGGUUGGCAGCUCAACCAGUGAUACAAAUCGACAUAUAGAAACUCGAUAUGGGGCAAUAACUGCUCGGAUGAGGGAGAAAGAAGGAGAGAAAAUGGGGAGAGAGGAGUAAGAAGAAGAGGUCAAGGAGGAGAAAGAGAAGGCAAAGGAGGAGGAUAAGGCAUAUGAGCAGAAGAGAUGGCAACAACACAACGAGGUGAAGGAGACAGCGGCAACGAUGUACUGGGUCGGAUGAGGCUCAGCAGGAAAGAAAGAGAGAGCGGAGAGCACAUGGCGUAGAGAGAGAGAGAGAGAGAGAGAGAGAGAGAGAGAGAGAGAGAGAGAGAGAGCAAAAAAGAAAAAGAUGAUGGCUAUGAGUGAAAAAUGUCAAAAAGCCAAAAAAACUUAUAUUAAAGCUGGAUGGUAGGCUUACUGCCUAGUACAUCUAUGUGAAUCAGUCAUAUUUCAACUGGCCCAUCCCAAAUGCUAAAUCUACUGGUCUUUAAAAUUUAAAUACUAUGCCCAACUGGAGUGGACAAAAUUUCUUGGUUUGCAUACCAAUCAUUAAUCCUACUUGUAAAAAGUAAAAACCAACCCAUACUAACCGGUAUGGUCAGUUUCUGAACCAUGUUGCCACCAUGAGAGUUCCACCUAGUUGUGACAUGAUGUUUGGACAGGUCAAUGAGUAGGACCCUGAUUCAAGAAAAAAUGAACUGAAAAAUAUUGUCUACAUCAUCCAUCAACCACAUACACAUGAACCAUUCAUAAGAAUGAAGCAAGAACUAAAACUUAAGUAAAACGAAAAUAAUUUUAUGUCAAUCAGUUGUCAGUAAAACUUAAAAGAGCUUUUACUUUUACCCAAUAGCAUCACAAUAUCAUGAUGUCAGAAUGUUAGUGCAUGCAAACUAGAGUAAGCCAAAAGAGAUACACCAUCAAAUGUCAACAUAUUAAACUUAGGUACUUUCAUGUUCCAAAAUUAUUGUGAUCUAAAAAGAAAAUCAGAACCAUGAGGCCAAGUAGCAGAAACAAG
rnacentral:lncRNA from 1 species